GCGAUUCGAACGGGGGGAGUGUCUGACAAAACUAUAAUUAUUUUAAAAAAACAUGGCGUCGAUCAAUGAGCGCCAGUGAUGAGCGCCCUGCGAGGACAAGAUGAAUUCUUUUGUUUUCAAUGAAUCUUCAAGGUGAACUGAUAUACAUCGAAUAUAAUUUAAUUAGGUGGGUAACCAAACUGACUAAUUUUUUUAAUCAAUAUAUUUGAUACAAUCCUAUGAUAUUUAAUAUUUUAUAUACAAAUUAAUAUAUGGAACCAUUGCUCUUUCUUUAGAAGUACCGAGUACGAAAUAUAUCACAAAAAUUACUGCCAUCAUUAUCAUAAGAACUCAUUAUUCGUUGUGAUAAACUAUGAUAUGAAAAUUUACAAAAAGUUACAGUCAUGAGGUUAUUUUAUGAGAAAAAUAUCGACUUCUAUCACCGAUUUUCAGCUGAUUAUUAAUAUUUUGAAUUAAUAUCUGAUGUAAAUAUAUACUGUAAUUGCUAUAUUUAAACGUGAUCUAUAUGUACUGUUGUCAGUCUAAUCUUGAAUAAACAUAAUACAUUGUGCAGACAAAUUGCCCAUUUCAGUAGUUUAUUUGAAUGUAUGUAGACAAUGAAACUGUUUUCUAUUCAGCCAUAAACAAUAGUAAGAAUGAUUACUUAAUUAUAAUGUCAUUGGAAUGAUAAUCCUCCUAAAAUCUUACCUAAACUUUUUAAAACUACACUUAAAUAGCUAAUCUAAUUAAUUAUAUUAUACUUGUAAUUUUAUUAUACAGGGUGUCCCAAAAAACCCGAAAACUAUUGAAAUCACUUAUUGUCAAAAUUUGAAUGCUUUACCAAAAAGCUGAACGUAAUGAUGCAUAAAAUAUUGACAAGAUGCAUGUAUUAGAAUCAUAGUUAAGAACAUCUCCUUGUAAAGUGCAAGAUUUUCUGUGCUUGGGAAUUUAAAGCAAAUUUAAAGAACAGUUUCUUUAUGCAUAAAAUUUACUUAUGUCAAUCAUUUAUGCACUCAUGGGAACCAACAGAGUGCUAAGGCAUUCAAAUUCUAACAAUUGUUAUUGGUGAUUUCAAUAGUUUUUGGUUUUUUGGGGACACCUGUAUAAUUGUAGUAUGUGUAUUGUGUUUCUCUUUCACCAUUCUCUUUCACCAUGCAAUAUAAUGGACCAGUCAUUAAUAAUGGGCGGGAGAGGUGGGUGAGAAAAGGGAGAUGGCCUUAUGUACUAGGGGAAGAUUUACUUAAAGUAUUUUCAUAAGAGAAUAAAAAAAAACAUUGACCAUGUACCUGGUAUAAAUCAACAGACUGAUGUAAUAUAAAUGACUUCAAUAAUAACACUGUCCCAAAUGAAUUUUUCUGUGUUGGUGUAUGUAGUGUACUCAGGUGAAUAUGAUAUUUGUGGUG